rnacentral:rRNA from 1 species
GUAGGUGGCAAGCGUUGUCCGGAAUUAUUGGGCGUAAAGCGCGCGCAGGCGGUCCUUUAAGGUCUGAUGUGAAAGCCCACGGGCUCAACCGUGGAGGGUCAUUGGAAACUGGAGAACUUGAGUACAGAAGAGGAAAGCGGAAUUCCACGUGUAGCGGUGAAAUGCGUAGAGAUGUGGAGGAACACCAGUGGCGAAGGCGGCUUUCUGGUCUGUAACUGACGCUGAGGCGCGAAAGCGUGGGGAGCAAACAGGAUUAGAUACCCUGGUAGUCCACGCCGUAAACGAUGAGUGCUAAGUGUUAGGGGGUUUCCGCCCCUUAGUGCUGCAGCUAACGCAUUAAGCACUCCGCCUGGGGAGUACGGCCGCAAAGGCUG